rnacentral:lncRNA from 13 species
AUUUUCCUUUCAGGGCCUUUCCCUGUCUUUGGGCACAAUCCCCUCCACUGACUCUCCUGUCUGCCCCGCCCUGCACUCACCACCCUCAGGGUCUUCCUUAGUACUGCCAUGACCAAGCUUCCUCCUUCUUCCGAACCUAAAGCAACAUCUAUUGUACUGUCUUGAGGGAUCCACAGGAGCAAUAACACUUCAAUAAUGCCGUGUACUUCUCCUGACCUGCAGGUGAGAGGAGAACAAUGGUCUGAGCCUCUUCCUCUGGCCCCUGCACAUCUGCUUAGAGGCAUCUGCGUGAAUGUGCUGGUUGUUCACUCGAGAAGAUACCAGAUACAAACAAGACAAGGAUGUUGCUCUUGUAAGCUCCAAAUAUUGGCUGAAGGAAUGAAUGAACAUCUGCCUUCUGUAUCAGUAGAUCUUUCCUUCCAUUGCAGAGUUAGAAGAUGAGCCCUAUUCAAUGUGGGAGCGGCUACAGAAGAGCAUGAAUAUCAGGAAGAGAGAAUCAUGUGAACUGGCUCAGAGGCUGGCCGUACAAGCACCUGCCUCAUAGGGUAGCUGCCAUGAUCAGGUCACAUGAGGUAAAGGGUAUAAAACAUUUUGUAAACGUUAACCUGCUCUAUCAAUAUUCACUAUUGUUCCUAUUAUUAUUGACAUGGAUGAGUUGUCCAAAGCUAACUGCAUUUUGCUCAUGAAUGUUUACUACUUUAGUUGUUCAGAAUUAGUGUCUUAGGACUCCCAACUACCUGCAAACUUGAGGGAUUUGAGACUAU